UACCAAUGUGAAAUACGUGUCUCAGUUUGGU
rnacentral:piRNA from 1 species